AGCCAAAACUGAGAAGCUAAAUCAAAAACCGCGCGGUCAGCGUCUACUUCUUUGACCGUUGGGUCUUCGUGGCGCUUCUGACACUGGUGAAAUGUAGCCAUAGACUAUGGACAUAGAAAUAUGGAUUAUAUUCGUGAUUUGUGAUGUAGUCGCACGUGGGUUGCCUCAUUGCCUGUUGCCCCGGUUUAGAAAGUUCCCCCAGCUGGUUCAGGAUCUGUUGCCUGCGGCCUGCGAAGCAGAAAAAUCAGAGAGCGAUAUGUCUCAUUAAGUUCCUCAGAAUAAAAUAUUAUGCCUAUUUGCAUGGAAAGUCCUGGAGAAAGCACUUGUUUAAACAUUACUAUGUAAAAGGAUGAGGAUCUCGUUCAAAAUGUAUAUCUAGUUUGAAGAACAGUAUGGUACUCAGAAAGGAUGUCAGCAAAAACAUAAUUACACAAUAUCUAAGAAUAUUUCGAAAGUUUACUUCUAUUUUAUUUCUACAUAUGCAAAAACAUACUGUUGACAUUGAUAUGUACAGUGGCUUGCUAAAUUAUUUACAUUUGUCACAGAAAACUUUUAUAUUCACAUUGUGUUGUAUAUAAAACAUUUAAAAAUUUUGUUAGUAUUAUAAUGAGAUUGCCCUAUUUAUAUUGCCAAUUUGAAAAAAUAUAUAAAAGUUUCAGGAUAUUUAAUGUAAACUUAUAUUUAGUAUAAAAUUAAUAUACAGUAUGUAUAGUCACCUUAAGCGUAUAAUGUAUUAUAUUAAAAAUGGUUCCACUGAAUACCAAAACUUACUAAUGUUAUGAAUGAUUGCUUAUUUAAAUAUUUUUAUAAUCUCUGCAAAAUAUAUGUACAUGUACAUGUACUUGUACUAAAUAUCUUA